UACUGUGCAUAAAAGUCGUCUUCAUCACGGAUCAGAACUGAGGCGAGAGAGAGGACCGCGAUGGAGGAAGGAAUCGCGCUGCCCAGUCGCCGUCCGUGGGUAGUCGUCACCGGCGUUGUCGCGAGAAGGAGAGAGCCCGCGUCGGAGAAGAGCC